rnacentral:rRNA from 1 species
ACCGUGCAAAGGUAGCAUAAUCAUUAGUCUAUUAAUUAUAGAAUAGUAUGAAUGGUUGGACGAAACAUUGUCUGUCUUAUUUAUAUUUAUUUGAAUUUAACAUUUGAGUUAAAAGGCUUAAGUUUUAUUAUAGGACGAGAAGACCCUAUAGAUCUUUAUUUAUUUUUUUUAUUAUAUUUUUUUUGUUUAUUUUUAAUUAAUUAAUUUAUUUAUUUUGUUGGGGUGGCAUUGAGAUAAAAUUAACUCUUUUUUUUUUCUUCAUUGAUUUAUGUUUAUUUGACCUUUUAUUAUUGUAUACAAGAAUUAGAUACCUUAGGGAUAACAGCGUAAUUCUUUUUGAGAGUUCCUAUUGACAUUAGAGAUUGCGACCUCGAUGUUGAAUUAAGGUUAUUAUUGGGUGUAGUUGUUCAAUUAAUUGGUCUGUUCGACCAUUAAAAUCUUACAUGAUCUGAGUUCAAA